rnacentral:rRNA from 1 species
UACCAGCUCUCCGAGUGGUGUGGAUGUUUAUUGGGCCUAAAGCAUCCGUAGCUGGCUGGGCAAGUCCCCUGUUAAAUCCACCGAUUUAAUCGUUGGUGUGCGGGGGAUACUGUUCGGCUAGGGGACGGGAGAGGCCGACGGUAUUUUCGGGGUAGGGGUGAAAUCCUAUAAUCCCGGGAAGACCACCAGUGGCGAAGGCUGUAGGCUAGAACGCGCCCGACGGUGAGGGAUGAAAGCUGGGGGAGCGAACCGGAUUAGAUACCCGGGUAGUCCCAGCUGUAAACGAUGCAGGCUAGGUGUUUGGGCGGCCACGUGCCGCUCUAGUGCCGCAGAGAAGUCGUUAAGCCUGCCGCCUGGGGAGUACGGCCGCAAGGCUGAAACUUAAGGAAUUGGCGGGGGAGCACCACAAGGGGUGAAGCUUGCGGUUU